rnacentral:rRNA from 1 species
AUGGCUCGUGGUAAGGUUCAGAUGAGAAGGAUAGAAAACCCAGUGCACAGGCAGGUCACCUUCUGCAAGCGGCGAAUGGGCCUUCUGAAGAAGGCAAAGGAGUUGUCCGUUUUAUGUGAUGCUGAUAUCGGUGUCAUGGUGUUUUCUCCUCAUGGAAAGGUUUAUGAGCUAGCUACCAACGGGAACAUGCAAGGCUUAAUUGAGAGGUACAAGGGUAGCAACACAGAAGCACAUGGUGAAAGUAGCGAGCAGAACAAACCCGAGGUAAUACAGCAAGAGGUACUACUCUUAAGGCAAGAAAUUGACUUGCUUCAAAAGGGCUUAAGGUACAUGUAUGGAGAGAAUGAUAUAAACCACAUGAAUCUCAAUGAGCUGCAAGCCCUGGAGAGUAACCUUGAAAUUUGGGUACACAAUAUCCGCUAUACAAAAAUGCAGAUCAUAUCUAGGGAGAUUGAGAUGCUCAAGACCAAGGAAGGCAUACUGAAGGCUGCCAAUGAUAUACUUCAAGAAAGGAUAAUUGAGCAGAGCGGGAUUCUGGACACCGGCAGCAACAUGAUGAUGCCACAAUUUCCCUUCCAGCGAACCAUGGAGGGUGGAUACUACUUCUAG